GGAGCGCGGGGUGCGCCCGGCGUGCGGCCGCGGCCGGGUCCCUGCCCGCGGGGUGCCCGCGGACGCGCCGUAGCGUGCAGCGGGGGUGCAGCAUCCGCUCUGUGUGUGUGGGUCCCGGAGCUGCAGCGGUGGGGUGCGGGGGCCCGGGUUUCUGAAGACUUAUAAUGCUGGAGCACCCCACUGAAUGAAGACUUCCAGAGCAGAAUAUUUACAUCUUCUCUUUCAAAGAACAUUUUAACCUCUUUAAAUGCUUCAGAAAAUCUCAGCAGCAAAAUUGUGCCUUUAAACACCACGUUCCUGCAGGAAGUUUUGACUUCAGGACAACAUAAUUUAAAAAAAAAAAAAAAUCACUGGAAGCGAUAUUCCCGGUAUUUUUCCUAAUUGCCACCAAGACAGAGCUUGGUUAGCUCCAAAUCCAUCUUCUUUGCCUACAGCUGAAAGCCAGAGAGCAUCUCAGAGCAGUGAGGACAAAGUCUGUGCAUCCCAAAAAAGAGCAUAUCCACCCACCCAGUCAGGCUCAAACUUCUCCUGCCACUGCUGCUGCCUGGGCACAGCCAGAGGGUCACCAUUUCUCUAUUGAAACCCAUGUUGCACAUCAGUCCUGGUGUCCCUGCAGCCCCAGCCCAGUCCAUGGACCACUCAGGACCUACUGCAUGGCCGUGCUCACCUCCUCUGCAUCCUCAGGCAUCCAGGAGGAGCACAGGCACCCCAGAGGAGUGCUGGCCCUGACCUGGGCAAGGGAUCGGCGGGUCAUGGUGCUUGCCAUGGGUUGAGCCAUUGGGGCUGGUAAAAAGGUGUUUCAGAGACCUGCUUUCCCUUAGUUUUUCCCUUUGGAUGCGCAAAUGCUGGCAGAUGUCAGGAGACCAGCCCAUGAGCCAUGACCUGCGCAGGUGCUGAUGCCAGGUACCCUGGUGCAUUAGUCUGCCAAGGGUGCAGAGGACCAAUGGAGGAAAGACUGGACUGUCGGUCCCCAAGCACCCCCAGCCCCAGGGGGCUGGACAGGCACUGCUAUGUCAAGGCAUGGACUUUGCACAGCCACGAAAGCUGUUUUUGGGAUAUCUGAUGUGGGGAAAUAGCUGCAACUACCAGAGGCAGCAAACCCCCUGCCCAAACCUCUGCCUCUCACCAGUGAGCCUGGCUCAUGCCUUGGGACAGAGACACCCGACUUGUCCCGGUGGGAAGCAGGCAUCUGCAGCACAGCCGGUCGCAGCUGGAUCCCUUGGGACAGGGUGUGUGCCCAGUACAGCCAGGAUGGGGCCAGGAAAGAGGACUCCAGCUCCCUGCAAGGGAGCCCGGUGCUGCGGGUAGCUUCUGGACCUUGGUGUAGGAGCAGAUUUACUGAAAACAAUUUAUUUAAUAUAAAAUAU
rnacentral:lncRNA from 1 species